rnacentral:rRNA from 1 species
AUACGAAGGGUGCUAGCGUUGUUCGGAAUUACUGGGCGUAAAGAGCAUGUAGGCGGAUUGAUUAGUCAGAGGUGAAAGCCCCGAGCUCAACUUGGGAAUUGCCUUUGAUACUGUCAAUCUAGAGACCGAGAGAGGUGAGUGGAAUUCCCAGUGUAGAGGUGAAAUUCGUAGAUAUUGGGAAGAACACCAGUGGCGAAGGCGGCUCACUGGCUCGGUACUGACGCUGAGAUGCGAAAGCGUGGGGAGCAAACAGGAUUAGAUACCCUUGUAGUCC